AUUCCCACUGUCUAUGUCCCUAGAUAUCUAGUAAUUUAUUUUUCAGAAAACAGAUUCCCUUCUUCUUCUUGUUACCGAGCCAACUCCUUCAUCCUCCCAAUCUUCAACCCUUUUAUUUUCCUUAAUUCAUCAAAUCAGUUAAACCCAAAAGCUUGAUAAAGCUCUUUAAAACCAUUUUUAAACCUUGCAUGUCUAAAUGAGUCAAAGUUGCAGUUCAAGAAAAAGGGGAGCUCAACAACUAAUUUAAUGAGAAUAUCGUCUUCUCCCUUAUCACAAACGAAUUAUGGCUGAAGGAUCUAGGAGGAAUCUUGCCCCUGAAGAUAGUAUGACUCCACCACCCACUUCUGAUCCAUGGGAAAGGGUUAUGGAAGCUAUUCAAAUGCAAGCAACGACUACCCAUAAUCUGGUACAACAAAUGGCAAUGAAAAGAGAUGUCACUCCAAAUGCCAAUAGGGUGUUGUUUUAUGAUUUUCUUAAGCUGCAGCCUCCAACAUUCCAGGACAACCAUAAUCCCUCAGAGGCCCAAGCUUGGCUGUAUGAGAUUAAAAAGGCAUUUGAAGUAGUGUGUUGUACUGAAGAAGAAAAGGUGGCAUUUGCUGCCCAUCUACUAAAGGGUGGGGCAAAGUAUUGGUUGAGGAGUGCAAAGACUUAUCUUCAGACUCAAAGAACCUAUAUGAAUUGGGAACACAUUGAGGUGGCCUUUUUUACAAGUAUUAUCCAAAAAGUGCCAGAAGACAAAAGGAGUCGGAGUUUGUGCAACUGCAACAAGGAGACAUGUAUGUUGCAGAGUAUGUUGCUAAGUUAGAAGAAUUGGUUAGAUUUUCCCCACAUGCCCAAUAUGCACCCACAAAAAAAUGGAAGAUAAACUAGUUUGAGUGAAGAUUGAGGCUUGAAAUCAGAGUGAACAUAGGCCAUAUGGAGCUUACUAACAAUUCUACUCUUGUACACAAGAGCUACACUGUUGAAGACAAUUUAAAGAAGGUACAACAGGAGAGGCAGGCUAAGUGGCAACAAAAGAAAGAGUUUGGAAAAUUUGGCCAACAAUUGAAGGUAAAGACUCCCCAAGGGAAGGGAAAACAAGUACAAAACUCUAGUUCCCCAAGAGCAAAGAAGUGUCUUAAGUGUGGCAGAGAUCAUGGGGGAGAGUGUUUGGUUGGAAAGUAAGUCUGCUACUACUACAAACAAUUUGGUCAUAUGGUUCCCUUUUGUCCAAUACGCCAAAAACAAGUAGAGUCCAAUCCAAACAAGUCUAACACUGGAAGGCUCUUUUCUCUCAGUGCAAAGAAAGCAAGCAGAUGUAGAGAGGGCAUGGUUAUGUUAUGUGGUUGCUGAAAUUGGAAUAAACCUUACUUUUCGCCAUCUUAGAAAAUAUUUACAAAGGAAGUAGAUGAACCUUCUGAUGGUCUCCUGUUGGAUUGAGAUUUUGUAUGGAAUCAACAAUACCUUACCACACUGCCACUGCUUCAAGGCUCGUGAUUUCAAUGUCUUCCAUUUCAAGUUGCAACUACGUUUGGCUUUUCGAGGGUAUUAUCAAUGUAGUCAAUGCUUUUAGUAAUUUCAAUGAGUUUGUAUGCUAUUUGGAUUGAACUAAUUCGUUUUUGCUGCAUCACAUCAUUGAUUGUUUACAAAGAAAACAUAAUUACUUACAACUAGUUAUUCUUUAAUAUAUGCAGAUGGUGCACUUAAAUAAGAGAUUUAAAUAUGUCUUUGGUCCCUUCAAAUAUACCACUUUUUGAUUUUAGUCCUCGUAAGUUUUUUUUUUUUUGAAUUCAGUCCCUAUAAAAUCAUAGAUGAUUGGUUUUGGUCCCUAAUGUCAAAUCAAAAGUUGCCAAAAAAAAAAGUUGGCAAACAACUGUGGCACAGAAGAAGACGAGUUUUCCAAAAAUCCCUUAACCCCACUUUUAAUUUCUAUUCAUAUUUCUUUUAAUAAAAUAACACUAAUUAAUAAAUAAUAAUUAAUAAAUUUGUUAAUUAAUAAUAUAAAAUAUUUAAUUUUUAAUAUCAUAAAAGAUGAUGUAUCGAUGUGCAUUUUUAAGGCCACAUGUCCCGACAAUCUUUUUUUGUAAUGUUGAUUUGACGUUAGGAACCAAAGUCGAUCGUCUCUAAUUUUACAGGGACUAAAUCCAAACAAAAAACUUACAGUGACUAAAAUAAAAAAAUGAUAUAUUUAUAGAGACCAAAAGACAUAUAUAAACCUUUAAAUGUUCAAUAUAUGAUACUAUGUAGAACUAUAUUAUAUAUUGUGUAGUAUCGUUCUCUAACUAUUUAAGUUAUUUUCCAGCAUAUUCAUAAAUGUAAUUUUUGUUCAUACAGUUUCAUCCUUGUUUAAGUAUAAUUUUUGCAG